UUUUACUCUCUCAUUUUAAGUCGUUUUCCCUCUCUUGCUCUCUUUUUCUCUCCUUCCCUCUUCUCUCUCUUUAAACCCUAAAAAUGUCUCUUCUUCUUCUCUUUCAGUUAGGGCACAAACGAAAACACACUACUUCUAGGUAUUUCUCAGCACGCGUCGUAGUCACAACAACAUCCACCAUGAAUCCUAAUAGGUUAACUUUGAUGCAAAGACUGAGUAUGAUAAGAUCUAGAAUUACUAAGCCCUACAAGAGGUUUUCAACAAGCUAAUAAUAUGGCCAACAGGUGUGUGUUAUGGUAUGUUUUCUUGAAUCCUGUAGUUGUUGUUAGUUCUGUUGUUGUUGUUGCUGCAGGAAAGUACCCUUUAUUAACCAUAACAACUUCCAAAAAAACCUGGAAAUUGGUUUGGUGUUCGAUUUGAAUCUGAAGUAAAGAUCGAUCCGUGACUUCGGCAUAAGGAGAGUCUGAGAGAGGGUGGUUCCGAACAUCAUUUCUUUUGUUAAGUUUUGUUUAAAUCACGGUAAGUUUCAUUUAGUUUGAUCUCAAACCUGACUUGAUCUACAUUUGUUAUGAAUUUGAAUUUACAUUAGUUUGAUCUCAAAGCUGUUUGAAUUUGAUAUGAUACUAAAGAUUUGGAUUUAUUUUUUCUUCUUUUAGGAUAAUGAAAAACAAGUCAGGGAAGAAUUUGAUAUGAUACUAAAUAUUCUCUUAGCUACUGCUUUUUAUUAAACAGCUAAAACAUUUGCUUAUCCUUAUUUACUUCAUAUAUUUUUUGAUUUUAGAGUUGUUUGUUUCCUCUUCUUAUUUCCAAGAGAGUCCAAUGCCAGAUCCAUCUGAAUUAUUUUCUAAUGUACAUGUUAAAGGAUACAUAGUUGAGUUAUAGAUUCCAUCCAUAUUCACUAUCCGUUGAUUAAAAUUAAACUAUAAGAAUAGUAAAUUUAUAGAUACGGAGUGAGAGUUAAGUUGUCAUAAAUAGGAAAUUUAAUAGUCCCCAAAUUGGUGAAAAUAAAGAAGAGUAAAAGAUUUUUCUACAAAACUAAUCUUUGAGCCCUUGGGUUGAGUUUCCCCGCGUAUAUAGUCAAUUUAUACUCUUGAGCGGCAAUGAGAGUUGAUUGAAUACUUUUUGACAUGUAUUUUUUGUUGGAGAGCAUAUGUAUGUAGAUUGACAAAAGCCUUCAUUUCUGGUGCAAAUGACUUCAUUUCUUCUUUCCUGACUUGAUCUACAUUUGUUAUUUGAUCACAAACCUGCCAAUUGUUUUAUAACUACAACAUGUUUGGAUGGAACAUUGCCCAGUAACCAUUUGGACCGCGGAUUUGAAUCUGGUGCAAAUAGUUGGCUUAUUCAUCUUGAGGUAUGUAAAAUAAUAUCCAGACUUUAAUAUCAAUACUUGCUUUAACUCUCCCAUCUUUGAGGCUGCAACUUAUGUAUACUCAAGUAUUUGUUUUAAUUGUCCACUUUAUCUAAUUUUUUUAAACUGGAAUAGAGUCAAUUUAAGGUACUGUGACGGAGGAUAUUUUACGGGAGAUAGUGAAAAUGAGGCCAGUGAAGAAAAUCUUAUCUUAAUAAGCAUUCCUAUGGAAACUGUCAUUGAAAGAUUUGAUUUUGCAAUCCAUUAUUGUGUGACCGUAUCGGGAUUUGAUUCUUUUUACAGGUUGUGCUCUGUCAACACUUCAAACGGCUUCAUUAGUAGAGAAGUCCAGACAUAAGCCACAAGAGAGGAUGAUAAUUUUAUCAGAUAUAAGUUGAUUUUCCAAGUUUUGAUUGAUAUUGCUAUGUCAUCCAUAUGUCGCGGCUAAAGGGUUCUUUUUGUUGCAGGCACUUAAAACCAGUAACUAUGAUGCUGAACAUUUUGUAUGUUUAGAGUAAUGUACCAAUCAAGGAUGGUAAAGUGACAUUUUGUAUAUUUAGAGUCAUGUACCAACCAAGUUCAUCUUCUGACUUUUCUCUGGUAUUUAUGCUUCGAAAUCAUUUUUCAUAUAACCAAAUAUGAGUAUUCAUAGGAUCUUUCAAUUAUAUUGCUGAAUGACAUGUUUAUUGUUGACUGACAUGGUUCAAUUAUAUUUGGUUAUUUGGUCAUGUACAACACUUAAA